rnacentral:rRNA from 1 species
AUUGAACGCUGGCGGCAUGCCUUACACAUGCAAGUCGAACGGCAGCACGGGUGCUUGCACCUGGUGGCGAGUGGCGAACGGGUGAGUAAUACAUCGGAACAUGUCCUGUAGUGGGGGAUAGCCCGGCGAAAGCCGGAUUAAUACCGCAUACGAUCUACGGAUGAAAGCGGGGGGCCUUCGGGCCUCGCGCUAUAGGGUUGGCCGAUGGCUGAUUAGCUAGUUGGGGGGGUAAAGGCCUACCAAGGCGACGAUCCGUAGCUGGUCUGAGAGGACGACCGGCCACACUGGGACUGAGACACGGCCCAGACUCCUACGGGAGGCAGCAGUGGGGAAUUUUGGACAAUGGGCGAAAGCCUGAUCCAGCAAUGCCGCGUGUGUGAAGAAGGCCUUCGGGUUGUAAAGCACUUUUGUCCGGAAAGAAAUCCUUGGCCCUAAUACGGUCGGGGGAUGACGGUACCGGAAGAAUAAGCACCGGCUAACUACGUG